CAAACCCGGGAGUUUGAUUUAUUUCUUAAAUUCAGACAUGAAGGCUAUUCGGUGUGGCAUGGAUUUUCUAUUUCUCCCCAAGUCCAGGAUUCCAUGCUAUUUCACAGUUACCUGCUUACGUCAGUCAAUUUACUUGUCUGCUUCAAGGUAGGUGGGUACAUCUUGGACUGAUGGAACACCAGGUAAUGGCCUCACUUUAAAAACGGAGAAACUGAGGCUCAGUUGGUCCUAUCUGUCACAUUUGCUUAAUAUACAUAUUAAUAUACAUGUACAUAUAUAUAUAUUUAAAGAGGUGAGCUGGAAGGGAAAGUCUGAGGAGAGACUCUCAAGUCAGGAGACAUUGCCCAGGGUCUCAUUGGCUGUUUGUUGACUGAACCGUUGAAGCCAUCUCUUCUUGGUUUCCUCAAUUAUAAAUUUUGAGUGUUGAGAUACAUAGCUUCAGAUAUUCUGUCUACUUCAUUCUUUGAUUUUUUUCCCCCCUCACAAAAGAUAAGAGGCUCUACUGGCAAAGAUGAAUGGUUGAAUUCUCUUAGGAGUCCACAUCUCAGCAGAGUUUAUAUACCAUCAAUAACUUGUUCAAAACACACAGGAAUCAUUUUCUUAGUUGUCUGUUGGUUAAUAUGAAGCUAAUGGGACUACUGUGUGAUCUUUCUAAUUUAAAUAGAAUGGACUAAAAAUCGGAUUGAUCCUUUAGUAGGCAUCUCAGUUUUGGCUGUUUUCAGCAUGUAAUCCCAUGUUUUGUGGAAAGGUAUUUUGCUCUAAAGUCUGAGUUGUUUAUGUAUAGUAAAGAUUACAGCUGACCUCUGUUCACGAUUACUGCAGGUAGUUUCUAUUAUGUAGGGAUUUCUCAGUGAUUGUUUUUGGUUAUUUGUUGUGGGCCCUCUGGAUCCCAUUGGAGAGCACAUGGUAACGAAGUAACCAGGAAACAGUGGCCUCCAUCGUUUCUACAAACGAGAUAAAUGAAGACACAUGCUGCCUAUGCCAGAACGACCACACCUGUCAUUUGAAGUCUGGGGAUUGAUUGGGAAGAAGAGGAACUGGAGAUUGUGUUCUCUCACACAGAACCCAACAGAAGUCACAUGAUUCAAGUUAACACAUCUAUGUAACAAAACCCAGACAAAAACUCCAUACAUCAAAGCUUGACAACGUGAUAUUUACAUGAUAUUUUGAAGGACUUUGGAACCAUUGAAAGACAAGCUUUGGAGUGGAGUUUGACUUUAUAAGUUAUCCCAUUCACCUCAUCUUCUUGAGAGAACCCCUAAGAACAUCCCUGAGUGGUGGAAAAUGGAGCAUGUUCAAUCAAGAACAGCCAAGUACUCAGGGGACUGCUAUAAAUGACACCGUUAGUAAGUGCUUAUCCAUGACCUUACCAUAGUCC
rnacentral:lncRNA from 1 species